UUUUCUUAUCGAUUUAUCAGUAUUUUUCCUACAUUAAAUAUAAAAGUAAAGAAGCACAGGAAUAGAUCUAAGAAAGUACGGGGAGUCUCAAGGAGGGGUGGCCUCGAAUUAACGUACUUAAAGCAGUGUGAUGUGUGAUGUGUGAAUCCGCCACUGUUCCGUGCGAGGCUGAGAACGAAAGAAGAAAGAGGCGGGGGGAAAGGAGAGAGGAAACGAGCGGCACACAGGGCGAACAGAAAUGACGCAGUGGUCGGUAGAGUCCGGCAGAGGUGGUGAGAGUGAGAGAAACAAAGAGGAGAGGCAUUCCGGUGGAACGACGACGUCCGUUUUCACGAGAGGGAUAUAUAGAGAAGUACAUUGGCGCGGUGCAACACAGCGGAGAAGCGGGCGCGCAUCUGCCGUCGCGCUCGCUCACGGAGCGAGUGGAUAAAGAUGAAAGCGGCCGGUCGUCGUAGAGGAACACGAACCGCGUUCCUCUCCACCACGUAGAGAGGAAGGGGGACGAAAAAUUCCAGCGAACAAAGUACGGACGCGGAGAUGCGGAUGCGUCCGCGCGCGGCGAGCGCUUGGAAUGCGAGGGGUGUGCGCGAGAAAGAGAAAUAAAAUCUCUCUCUCUCUCUCUCUCUCUCUUUCUUUAUUCUCUAUUUAGAAAAAUUAGCCUUGAAGUAAUAUACAGUGGAACAUAAUUAGUUAAAGAUACAAUCAGAAGAUAUAAUACCGAUUAAAAUGGAAAAGGAAAAAUUCAAGUUUAUUUUGGGGAGAAAUAACAAUGAAAAAUACAGAUUUUAAAAAAUAGAAUAAGAAAAGAGAGGAGAGAGGAUGGUCGUCAGUGGUGCAAUAAUCGGCCUAGCUAAAGAGGGUGGUCACGUGGUUGGGACGUCGGCGAUGCGCGUACGAUCUAGAAACGGGAUGAAGCAGAGGCGAGAAAGAGAGAGAGAGAGGGAGAGAGAGAGAGAGAGGAGCGAAAAGUGGCAGGAGGGUGGGAGGGGCAGGGUGCAGUGCGUUGCAUAGGAAAGCCGGGACACCGGCGCUGCACCCGCCAGCAGUCUCACAAUACACUUUGCCCUGCGCGCCGCAGCCGAUUUAUCCGGUGCACGGCGCACGUGCAACGCGAUUCCAUGACGAAUCUCUUUUUUCUCUUUCUGUCUUUCUAUCCGUCCAUCAAUCUCCAUCUCUCCGUCGCUGUGAUGCUUGGUGAUGACAGUGUUGUUAUUAUUGUUGUUAUAUCUGUGUUGCACGCGCGCGUAUCUUAAAUUACUUAUCGAUUUUAUUGACGCGAUUGACUUUCAUGUUUCUAUUACGACCACAACAUUUUGGUGAGAUCUUUAUUCGACGCGCUGUUAUUUAGUGCUAAAUGUGGUCCAUGUUUCGUCGUUUGCCCUACGUCGUGAUGACGUUGCGCUGAAUCACGCGAGAAGACGAAAAUCAACCUGGACUAAACGUAGUGAACGCGAAUUUUAAUUCGAUCCAAUUGUAAUCUAUAUAACGUUCAUUACUGGAAUUCAUCAAAGUGGAAAAACAAAUCGCGAGUAUUUUCGAUUUAAUUCGAUAUCACCGGAUUUCCCUGACAAUUUAUUUCAAGUCGUACGAGAAAUUCACUGCCUAUACGGAUACGUCGAUUUAGGAAAUAACUAGCAGAAUCGUGGUUCGCUGCGCGUCGAUACGCAAGGGUGCGUUCUAAAACGAAACUCGGUUCUCGCAAGCAUUAGGCAUCUACCCUAGGACAUUGUCCUUUCCCUUCUCAUUCACGUUUCGUCUAACUUCGUUCAUUCUUCGUUCAUCCAACAUAUCAACGCAGACUUGAUUAUUACGCAAUCUCUCGCUACAUUUCAUACUAAUCUAUUUUAUGACGCUCGUUAUUGCAUUUUUUAUCCUUUUCAAAAACACGUGUUUACAUCAUUCUAAAAAAACAUCAUAUUCUUCACUAUAAAAAAAAAUUAAUUUAGACAAUUUAUAAAAAUAUAUUUUUUCAAUAAAAUAUCCUUUACAUUUAUAUAUAAAUCUGGUUUUCAAAUCGUAAAUAUAUUACAAUGGAUGAGAAUUAAUUUGUUGAAAACUUGCAAAAUUUAUCAAAGAAAUUGCCUUUCUUCAUUAAAUUUCGCUGUAACAUCUCAACAAAAGCUAAGAAUAAUUUUUCAAUAAAAUCAUCGAUAUAAAUAGCAAACCUUGUUCAUAAAAAAAAUAAAAAUUAUCAGGGAUUUGAGUUGAAUUCUGGUACAAUUAAAAGUCUCAAACGAUUAACUUGUCGCGAAAAUGUAUAGUAUGAUCUUUUGAUUCCAAUUCACACUUACCAACAAACUUUCCACAAAAAGCAAUCUUCGAUCUCCACAGUCAGUACCGGAAGUUGUAAGAAACCAUCAAUUGUACAUUGAUAUCCGACGUUAAAUCGCUAUUAAUCUAAUGCAUCAAGAAUAAUAAAAUCAACGACAAUACGGGAUAAACGAUUUUUUCACGACGACUCGGAAAAAUCAGACAGUAUAAUUGUCAAAAGAGGAGCUUCUAGCUAGGACUCGCAGAUGUUAACCAGAACAAAAGAAUUUCUUCGAACUUCUCCAUAAAGAUUACAAUUAUCGCGGCCGAUAUUGCGUUAUCGCGAUGACGAAAAAUUUCUUGGACGAUUAUUAUUUUCCGCAAGGCGACGACGGUGCCGGAAAAAAGAGGAGGGAGAGACGAUGACGGUCAUAACAAUAUCACUGUUGUUAAGAUAACCGAAGACAACACGGUUCCCACGUACGUUGUAGUACAUAUAUUUUUGUUUGAAACUUGCCCAUGCUUGUAACUGCAGGGAUCCUCUAACUGGCAUUUUCUUUAAACGAACGGAUGUUAGACCUUCGUAUUUUGUGAUCUUUUAUUAUAUUUACAACUACUACUUAUGAAGAGUGCUAACGACCGAUGUUUACAAUGAUCGCUCUAGCGCCUAUAUAAACAUUUGCAGCACUCAGAUCCUAACAAAAUUAUUCAUAGUCGUGUUCAAUAUGUGUGUUGCCAGUAACCAAAUUAGCAAUAUCACGUGAAAUCUACGCAAUUUUGAGAAGUUUUGCGUAGUCGCGAAAGAAUAAUACUUAUGUCCCUCCAAAAAAUUGAUUUUUAUUUCUGACAAUAAAACCACCACAAUAAAUACACUUCAUUGUGUUUAUUGCAUAGUAAAUCGUAUGAAUUGAUAUUAUAUCAAAUUUUUUAAGACGUUAAAUGCGUGAAAAGGUGUGAAUCAAUGAUUCUUUGGCAUAGUUACUAUUGCGUCUCGAAAAUAGCAACGAGAGAAAGAUAGAGGCACACAUUAAAAACGGUUAUAUAUGUAUAUAUACGUGAGUAGCGCGUUUAUUUUUUCCUUCGUAAUCAGUUCUCGGAUCAUCCAAUCAACAGAGUUCUAGGGCUCGUGGACCAUCACGACGAAUCAUCGUAUCUAGCCGCGAUUUAGCUGUGUGUGACGCGAAGCAGCGUGGGAACUCCUUCGAGGCACACGCAGCGGUGCUCAAUCGGGCCGAAUUAUCGUUGGCCGGAAAUUCGCAUGACUCCCUCGCUUUAAGUUUCAAAUCCGACGAUUUGCCGUAUGAACAGCGCGCUAUCGAAGUUCGCACAUUAAUUUUGCGAUUUUCUCCGCGAAUUCGUGCGCAAAGUCGAGCGGAGAUUAAUUAAGAGCACGUUGACGAUAAAAAAAACCGCCUCGCGUUCCCGCGAUCUCACAUGUCAGUUCUUGCUACGGAAAUUGUUAAAUUAAUUCUAUAUUGCAUACAUUAGCUAAAUAAAUUAUCUUUUCGGAGACUUGGAAUCACAUAAUAAAAAAUAUUUCUAUAAAUAAAUGAAACAAAAAAAUGGAAGAUUUUUACUUCUUUCAUAAAUGAUUCAAUUUUCCAUUUCAUUUUCCAUAAACCAUGGAGCGAUAUACUUUAUUCUAUUUGCUUUUUUUACAUAAAUAUAAAAAAAGAGAUAUAUUUUAAUGAAUAGCAGAUCGAAAGGAAAGGAUCAAGGCUUGUACAUUUUACCUUGAAUGAAAAUAGCAUCGGGAUAUUUAACGCGAGAUUCGGUAGGAAAUUAUGGCGGGGAUGAUGGGUCAAUGUUUCGUGGAAUGCGGGGAAAUAAUGGAGGUCAAACUUCCUCGGGUCUGUGCUUGCCGCCGACGAGAUGAAAGGUGGCGGUGGUUGGUUAGUCGGAGAGGCCGGACGUAGUAGGUAUAUCUCUCCUUCGUCUCUCUCUCCUCGCUUCUCUCGCGUAUUUUAUUUGGCGAGUUUUUGCCGUGUUUUACGAGCGGCUUAGCGGCGCUUUUUAUAGCCGGCUCGCUUCACAAUGCGCCAUCAUAGUGGGUUUUUACAGACGUCCUGUAGAGUAUCUAAGCGGCAGUGUGUAUAUCGAAUGUGUGAGUAUUUUACAUACGCGCCGUUAUAUAAUGAGCAGCGUGCGCAGACUGUUUCCCGCUGUUUAAGGUUUCCGACACAUCAGGUGAAUCCGUUCGCGCUUCUUUCUUCGAUGACUUGUAGUAAAUAAUCAUAAGUGGCGAAAAAAACGCUUAAAGUUAUUCUGCAUUUUUUAAAAAUUAUAAUUUACUAAAAGCUUUUAUACAAAGGAUAAAAAUAUUACGCAAUUUAAGCAAAAAGAAGUUUAAUAAGACUCCAUUCUCUUUCUAUAAAGAUAAAAAAUAUCAUGAAUAAUUUAAAAUGAGAAAUUUGACAAGGUUGCUUUUAAGAAUUUAUUAUAUCCAUUAAUUUUAUUCAGUUGUAAAUAAACUAGCACUUAAAAGAUGAAAAUUCUUUUAGGAUCUUUUAUGCGAUCUGUGCUGGGGAAGAUCAGAAAACUACAAGGAGAUUUAAAUAUCUGAAUCUCUUUUAGAAAAAUAAUCUUCCUUGUUUACUUAUCAAAUGUGUGUGUUUAAUAUGCACUUAUGAAAUGAUAUAUCUGAGCUUUUUUAAGUAUUAUUUAAGAAAGAGAGGGGAAGAGAGAGAGAAAAAGAAAGAGAGAGAAAAAGUAUAUAUACAGAAGAUGUUUCAGAAUAUCUAUCUUAAUUUUAAUGAAGGAUUUAAUCACAAGAAUUGUGAGAGAUGCGUGUUAAUAUAUCCUGUAUAUAAUACGUAUACAGAAAUAUACAAACACACACACACACAUAGAGUCACUCUCCUCUUCAUAAUAAUAUAUUUAAAUAUUGCAUAUAAUUUUUAAAAUAAGAAAUUAUAAAUAUCAUUAACACAUUCAUUAAAUAACAAAUUAUAUUUAGGCAAUGAUGUAGCUAAAUCGUUUCUUUUCGAUAUGCUCGAAUUUGAUAUGCAUGAAUAUUUAUUUAUGCUGUUGCUGUGUGAAUACUUGCACAUAACUAUGCAUAUAUGUUCGUAUAUGUGUACAUAAAAUCAUAUACAUAGAUUUCACUCUCUUUCUCUGUUUUUCUUAUUUCUCUCUCUUGUUCUUUCUUCAUUCAGAUACUGGCCAUGAAUGAACCGCAGACUCUUCAUUCUUACUAUAUAGCGAACACUCUUUUCCCACACUUUAAUGCCACAAUAACCGUCCUUUGAAGAUCGAGGCUGUCUCGUCGAUUUUUUUUAUAAGGAUACUAUGACAAUGUUGCAUUUGUAUAUUUAAUAUUAAUACGAAACACUGACAUAUAAAAAACAUUAUUUUAGUGACAGUCAUUAUAGACAGUCAUUAUCAUUUAUUUACUAAUUGUAAGUAGAGCCCCUCUUUCUUUUCCUAAAUAAUUUGGAUAAAAUAUAUUUAUAAAAGUUACAAUUAGAAUAACUAUUAUACGUAAUAUAGCAUAUCAUUUUUUUACAAUAUAAUGAAUGAAAAAAACAAAUUUUAUGUAUAUAUAAACACGCACAUAUGUAAAAUUAUUUUAUUUUGCUUUUUAUAAGAAUGCGUUGUGUGUUUUAGUUUUGUUGAACAUCAAAUGUUCUAAGAAUUUGAAUAUUAUUUAAAUGACACAUCUCAUACGAUUGAAAAUAUUUCGAUAAAAUUAAAGUUAUUCAAAGGCAACGAUGUAUUGUUUCCUUUAUAUUUCUUUAAUAAUUUCCUAAAUAAUCUGUGUUGAGUAUGUGUCUGUCAAGACAAUUAUUAUUAUGUGACCACAAAGCAUGAUUGGGUGAGGACACUAAAAUCGUAUUCACCUCGAUAUUUACUGCCGAUCAUGACGAUUGUACUGACUGUCGACACGUGGUCAACCACGCAUAAUUAUGAGUAUUCUUACACAUUCUUACUCAGAUUAAUAUAAAUGAAUAUCAUGCGUAUAUGUGUGUAAUAAGUAAAAAAACACAAGCUAAUAUGCAAUUUUAUUUAUUAUGUUUAUGAAACUUUGCAAUAUUAAAUUUGUGGUUAAGCACCUGAUUACGCACCAGAGGAUAUAACAUAAACCGCAAUUUUACAUUAAGAAAGAUAAUAUUAAGUUAUAUUCAUUAAAGUCUUUUAUCAAACUUUUCCUGAAAAAAAAAAACAAGGUGAACGAACCCUUUACUCGAUUAUACGAUCGAUGCUUUUUUUAUCAUGUUAUAAUUGGGUCACGCACUCACGUCUCUAUGAAUUUAUAUUGCACAUACACACGCGCGCCCUGUUUCCGGUCGUGACAUCAUUUCUCCUUGCCAACUACGUCUCAGACAGUGCCAUAAUGUUCAUCGCUUUGGAAUGAACGUAUUUAAAGAUAUACAUUUUUAGACUUGUGCCUGGAAAUGAUUAAUGAUGAUGUAUAUCAUUAUGUUGAAUGUUAUGACACUCAAA